UUCCCAUUCUACUUCUGAGGAAUCUAGAGGGCAGGUGCAGGCCCUCCAUGGUAUGAUCAUGGUCCCGCAUGAGGAGGAAGGAGACACACUUUGGAUGACUUGUACCAACUGCUUUUUUACCAUUAGCAAGCUCCCCUCUGUGCAGACAGUGUGCUUUGACCAGGGGUGGCUGUAGCAGCAGUCGAGCUAACAGCUAACUUUGAGAAAUAAGGCAUCAACUGCUGCAUCUCUGAAUCGUGGAGCCCGUCCUUCCAGGAGACACGUUUCUGGAGACAGCAAUAAGCUGCAGCAGUAACUGUAUGAGGAGAAACAAAACAAAAGCAGCAUAGUCAUACUUCAGGGAGUGCUCUUUCAUUUGGUGAGCUCAGCACCAACCCCACUGCUCACUAGGAGAUCACACAGCAGUUACGAAGCACUGAAUGGGUGAAAACAAAUUGGCCUUUUGCCACAUUUGUAAAUGUGGGGAUGCUUUCACUCUCCCAGUCAUCACCACCACAACGGGACUUGUGCCCAUGGGUCAGAGUGGCCACUGCCAUGGUGUGAACUUCAUCUCCUCUGGUGGCUGCUGCAGAGCCCAUGCAAAGGAACCAAACACAGGGUCAUACCUGCAAUCUUCAUGGCUCAGAAGAACACGAAGUUAAGGCUUAUUCACGACAGCUGGGAAUAAUGUAUUGGCUGAUGUGAUGGAGACU